rnacentral:misc_RNA from 1 species
CCGUGGCACGCCCGCUCGCUCGCACGCGACCGUGUCGCUCGCCCGGGCGUCACGGGGGCGGUCGCCUCGGCCCCCGCGCGGUCGCCCGAACGACCGUGUGGUGGUUGGGGGGGGAUCGUCUUCUCCUCCGUCUCCCGAGGACGGUUCGUUUCUCUUUCCCCUUCCGUCGCUCUCCUUGGGUGUGGGAGCCUCGUGCCGUCGCGACCGCGGCCUGCCGUCGCCUGCCGCCGCAGCCCCUUGCCCUCCGGCCUUGGCCAAGCCGGAGGGGCGGAGGAGGGGGAUCGGCGGCGGCGGCGGCGACCGCGGCGCGGUGACGCACGGUGGGAUCCCCAUCCUCGGCGCGUCCGUCGGGGACGGCCGGUUGGAGGGGCGGGAGGGGUUUUUCCCGUGAACGCCGCGUUCGGCGCCAGGCCUCUGGCGGCCGGGGGGGCGCUCUCUCCGCCCGAGCAUCCCCACUCCCGCCCCUCCUCUUCGCGCGCCGCGGCGGCGACGUGCGUACGAGGGGAGGAUGUCGCGGUGUGGAGGCGGAGAGGGUCCGGCGCGGCGCCUCUUCCA